GUACGGAAGCCUUUAGAGAUAGAGGCGUGCUCGAAAGAGAGCCGUAACACAGGUGCUGCAUGGCUGUCGUCAGCUCGUGUCGUGAGAUGUUGGGUUAAGUCCCGCAACGAGCGCAACCCUUGUCAUUAGUUGCUACAUUCAGUUGGGCACUCUAAUGAGACUGCCGGUGACAAGCCGGAGGAAGGUGGGGAUGACGUCAAGUCCUCAUGGCCCUUAUAGGUGGGGCUACACACGUCAUACAAUGGCUGGUACAAAGGGUUGCCAACCCGCGAGGGGGAGCUAAUCCCACAAAGCCAGUCGUAGUCCGGAUCGUAGUCUGCAACUCGACUACGUGAAGUCGGAAUCGCUAGUAAUCGUGGAUCAGAAUGUCACGGUGAAUACGUUCCCGGGUCUU
rnacentral:rRNA from 1 species